rnacentral:rRNA from 1 species
AUUGAACGCUGGCGGCAGGCCUAACACAUGCAAGUAGAACGAGUGGCGGACGGGUGAGUAAUGUCUGGGAAACUGCCCGAUGGAGGGGGAUAACUACUGGAAACGGUAGCUAAUACCGCAUACCAUUGGAGGUGCCGCGAUGGGAUUAGCUAGUAGGUGGGGUAAUGGCUCACCCAGGCGACGAUCCCUAGCUGGUCUGAGAGGUUGACCAGCAACACUGGAACUGAGCCACGGUCCAGACUCCUACGGGAUGCAGCAUUGGGGAAUAUUGCACAAUGGGCGCAAGCCUGAUGCAGCCAUGCCGCGUGUAUGAAGAAGGCCUUCGGGUUGUAAAGUACUUUCAGCGAGUAGGCGUUACUCGCAGAAGAAGCACCGGCUAACUCCGUGCCAGCAGCCGCGGUAAUUC